GUCCUUCAUGACAACAGAACUUCAACAAUGACUUUUACCAUGAGCUUUUUGUGGAUAUUGAUGUUCUUCAUUCAGGAAUCCAGGGGACAGUACACUCAGACUCCAAAAGUGAAAGCUGUUCUCCCAGAAAAUACAGUUAUUAUAAACUGUAAAACCAGUGUGACUGUAUCUAAUGAUUGUUUUGGUGAUUACAUCUGUAUGGCCUGGUACAAACAGAAACCUGGAGGAGCUCCUAAACUCCUGAUGCACUCUUCAAACCAACGUCUGUCUGAGAUUCCAUCUAAGUUCAGUGGCAGUGGAUCUCAUAGUGACUUUACUCUGACCAUCAGUGGAAUCCAGGCUGAAGAUGCAGGAGAUUACUACUGUCAGAGUUACCACAGUGGUCCAGUGUUCAAACAGUGAUACAGAGCUGUACUAAAACCUCCCUCAGUCAGACUGCACAGUGACUGUACUGAUACAGCUGGGACCUACUGCAGGUGCUGAGGGGGAAGAGACCGUGACAUGGAACACUGAUCAGUAGUGAAGUCAACUUUGAAUAAGUUUAGAAAGCAUCAUUCAGAACAUGUUCUCCAUCGUCAUUGUUACAAACCCCCUUUUCUGGUUAUCCCCUUUUCCCACCAACAAUAAUACAUCACAGUAGUACAUACUCACAUGAUAACAGACAAUAUUUAUCCACACAGUCUAGGGGGGGGGGACAAGACCCGUAACAUACAGUGGGGCAAAAAAGUAUUUAGUCAGCCACCAAUUGUGCAAGUUCUCCCACUUAAAAAGAUGAGCGAGGCCUGUAAUUUUCAUCAUAGGUACACUUCAACUAUGACAGACAAAAUGAGGAAAAAAAUCCUGAAAAUCACAUUGUAGGAUUUUUAAUGAAUUUAUUUGCAAAUUAUGGUGGAAAAUAAGUAUUUAAGUAUACUGUAGAUAUAACUUUUCCCCAAAAGUAUUUUAUUAUUUGCAUAUACUCAGUUAUGGGAAAAGUACCUAAUUGUCAUACUUGAGUAAAAGUAAAGAUACCUCAAUAGAA